rnacentral:rRNA from 1 species
CAGUAGCCACGGUAAUACGAAGGGUGCAAGCGUUACUCGGAAUUACUGGGCGUAAAGCGUGCGUAGGUGGUGGUUUAAGUCCGUUGUGAAAGCCCUGGGCUCAACCUGGGAAUUGCAGUGGAUACUGGGUCACUAGAGUGUGGUAGAGGAUAGUGGAAUUUCCGGUGUAGCAGUGAAAUGCGUAGAGAUCGGAAGGAACAUCUGUGGCGAAGGCGACUAUCUGGGCCAACACUGACACUGAGGCACGAAAGCGUGGGGAGCAAACAGGAUUAGAGACCCCGGUAGUCCCUGUCUCUUAUAC